GAGGGUAUAGCUCAAAUGGUAGAGCGCAUGCUUAGAAUGCAUGAGGUCCUGGGUUCAAUCCCCAGUACCUCCU
rnacentral:tRNA from 1 species